AAGACAUCGUGGCUCUGAAUCAACAGGCACUGCAGGACUGAAAAUCUGCUCAACACCACAAGAAGAGAGGAGUAAGUUUGAGCUGAGUCGAGCUCAACCCUGCCAGGUCAUCUAUGCAGUUCCCAUGAGGACCCUCACACGUACUCACUCGCAAAGACCUCAUGGAUCGUACUUCAACAGGCAUUGGACUGAAAAAACUGCUCAACACCAAGACAUGAGAAUAGUUAAAACGGCAUGCAGAUGAAAAGAAAAGCCCAGGAGACAGUGAAGCUGGUUCCAGAAAGCGCAAACUCGAGAAUAGAAACGACAAGCUUGCUUCGAACAUGGAAGAAAAUCAACGAGGACAGAGUGGACUUGGAGCAGACAAGCAGGAGGGUCAUGACGCCAAAGUCGAUGGAACUGGAACAGGACAGGGUCACAGGAAACAUAAAGCUGUGGUAACUGGAGAUGGAGUUAAAAUUGAUUUGGAGACUGUUAAUAGAGCCUUUCUUGAAUUAGCAGAGAAAGGUCGUCCAGAUACUGUCAAGAUAUUGAUAGAUGUUGGGGCUGAUGUUAAUGCCAAGGACACUAACAAUGUCACACCCUUGCUUGCAUCAGCAUGGGGAGGUCAUUCUGAUACUGUCAAGAUAUUGAUAGAUGCUGGGGCUGAUGUUGAUGCCAAGGACACUGACAAUGCCACACCCUUGCUUGCAUCAGCAUGGGGAGGUCAUUCUGAUACUGUCAAGAUAUUGAUAGAUGCUGGGGCUGAUGUUGAUGCCAAGGACACUAACAAUGUCACACCCUUGCUUGCAUCAGCACUGGGAGGUCAUUCUGAUACUGUCAAGAUAUUGAUAGAUGCUGGGGCUGAUGUUGAUGCCAAGGACACUAACAAUGUCACACCCUUGCAUUAUUCAGCAUGGGGAGGUCAUUCUGAUACUGUCAAGAUAUUGAUAGAUGCUGGGGCUGAUGUUGAUGCCAAGGACACUAACAAUGUCACACCCUUGCAUUAUUCAGCACGG